AUAGAGGCCGCGCGCGUUAACCCCCUCCCCGCCGGCCGCGUCCGCCCGGGCUGGGGCCGCGCCCGCUGCUGGCACCGCCCGCCACCGCCAGCACCCUGCCCCCUCCCCCGCCCGCGCGGACUUCCUCCUCCGCAAGCUGUCAACAAAGGAGAAGCAGGUUUGGCAUCCGGAGGCCGCUCGGCUGCCUGUCCUGCGCCCAGCUCAGCCCGGACCCAUCGGCCACCUUAAGUAGCCAAGGGGGCAAGGAAAAUGCUGCCAGGGCCCGGGAAUUCGAGUCGGGCCUUGCGAGCCCAGCUGGCUUGGCCCCCGGGGGAAUAGAAGGUCUAGCGUUGGGGUUAGGGGGGAGCUCAGAACACAGGAAGAGUGGGUGAGGGCAGUAGGGACAGGGAAUCCCCCCCAUUCGCAUCACCUGUCACCGCACACAUCCUGCACACCUCCCUCUUCAUCUGUAAUUUGAGUGAGGGGUGAGUGGGGAGGAACGGGGCUUGUCUGGUAGGGUUGAGACUAGAGUCUUGGAAUUUGUGGGAGCAAAUUUCCUCUUCUUGUAAAUUAAAAAAAGAAAAAGGCCAACAAGCUGUCAAAUAAGGCUUGAAGUUGUUGUUAUUAUUAUUAUUGCAAUGAGAAGAUGAACCUUGCUCUGAAUUGAAUCUCAAACUUCCAGCCCUGAUAGGGAUCCUGGGCAUCUGGUGAGAGGUUUCGGGAUUCUGGAUGACAAUGUCUCGGUGCCCUCAAGGCCACUGAUUCCUCGCCACACAGUCUCAGUAACUCCGCAGCCUCUAGACACGGCUUUCCGGAAGCGGCCUGCAAGCUGGACCCCAGCGAGUUCGCAGGAUCUGCGUAGUCCCUGCUCGCGAUUAGAGCGCACACGAGUUUACUCCUGUCCAAGUAUUCUGAUAAGCUUCCUCUACUGCCCUCUCGUGGCCACAGUCCUCAGUGGUAUAAAUCUAAAAAACAACAAAAAUCACUGCGAAUACCUAAAAGCAAUUGCACCAAAUUCUUAGAGCAGUAGCGGCAGAAGAAACGAAGGGAGGGAAGGAUGAAGAAAGGGAGCCGGAGAAAAGAGAGAGAGAGAGGAAGAAGAAAAGGAAAUCUAGACUAACCAGUCAUCUCGAACAAUCGCACAUUCAACACAGGACUGGGGGAUCUAGGCUUUACUCCAACAUCUGCAGAAAUCAGCGAAUUCUUCAAAAGUUCUUCAUUGUAAUUAGCUGAAAUUUGUGUUCCUGUAACUUUCACUGGCUACUGCUAGUUUUGUCCUGUGGGACCACAAAGAAUCUGUCUAAGCUGUGUUGCCUGAUCCAUACCUGUUCUUUCCUUCAAACUUCUUUAGCAUUCAUUGUUGGUAACACACCAAUAAAUUAUCAUAUUUACCCUGUGU
rnacentral:lncRNA from 1 species